GACGCACGCUGGCGGCGUGCUUAACACAUGCAAGUCGAACGAAGUGGCGAACGGGUGAGUAACGCGUAAUCAACCUUCCCUUUAGAGGGGCACCACAGUUGGAAACGACUGCUAAUACCGCAUACUGAAGGAGGGGAUUGAGGCUGAUUAGCUAGUUGGAGGGGUAACGGCCCACCAAGGCGAUGAUCAGUAGCCGGUCGGGGAGGAUGAACGGCAACAUUGGAACUGCGACACGGCCCAGACGCCUACGGGAGGCAGCAGUGGGGAAUCUUCCGAAAUGGACGAAAGUCUGACGGAGCAACGCCGCGUGAGUGAUGACGGCCUUCGGGUUGUAAAGCUCUGUUAAUCGGGACGCGGUACCGGAAUAGAAAGCCACGGCUAACUACGUGCCAGCAGCCGCGGUAAUUC
rnacentral:rRNA from 1 species